AUCUGAUGAGUAAUUGGCAAAGACUUUACCCUAUUCUGUAGGUUGUUUUGAUUCUGAUAUUUUUUUUUCUGUGCAGAAGCUGUCUAAUUUGAUACAACCCCAUUUGUCAAUGCUUGCUCUUAUUUCCUGAGCACUUGGAAUUCUAUUCAGAAAGGCUUUACUUAUGCCUAUAUCUUCUAGGGUCUUCCCUAAGUUUUGCUGUAGUAGAUUCAGAGAGAAAGUCAUUUGUAUGUUCUCAUGCAUCAUUUACAUAAUACUUCCUCAUAAAGAGGAAUUCUGGCAUUUUGAAUUGUGUCCACAUGAAUGGGAUGAAUGAAUAGUCUUUGGGACUAGCUUUUUUAAAGCAGUCUUGAACUGUUUACAAAAUGAAACAAGUUUGUCUAGACCAGCAUUUGUUUUAUGCACUAGGCAUUCGUUACUGCCCUUAAGUUUUAGUAGUAUUGCUGUCUUUCUUUCUGGAGGCAAUUUUGACUAAAACAGCAUGCCUUCAAAUAUCAAGUGAAAUACAUCAAAAAGCACCUUAAGAAGCACCUAUUCUGUGCCUGUAUUAUGCAAGACCUGUGUAUGUGCAAAAGAGGUGAUAUGCAGCUGCUGCAUGAGAGGACUUUUGGUCCUCUGUUGACGAAAUCAACCCUAACCGGAUAGAACAGCCAGGGCAUGCAUGCCGCUAUAAAAGUUUGCAGUCUGUCUUCUACUUAAAAAUGGGGUUUGUUCUUAGGCAGGGGUCUAACAAAGUUUUUUUGGAAUACAGCUCUACCUAUUUCAUGCUUUACCAUGAGAGUUGAGUUGUAACGAGUCUACAGAGCCUGUAAUCCUAAAAUAUCUUUCUUUUGACUCUUUAAGAAUGAAUUUGGUGGGG